UCAUGAAAUGUACAAUGCCAAGAGUAAACCCUGGACUUUGAGUGAUUAUGAUGUGUCAGUGGAGGCUCAUACUUGGUUUAAAAAAUAAGAAGUGCAUUUCUGAUUAGAAAACCAAGGCUGACAAGGGUAGUUGUGUCCAGAGGUAGUGCAGACAAUAAUGUCCGUGUCAGAGUGGGAAGCUCAAGGUCUGGUGCAGUGAUGACAUGCUAGAACGGAUGUGUCUUCCUUUGACCCCCUUCGGGAUUGCAGAAGGAAUCCCCAAGCUAUCCGACCAACACUGGAAAUGGGCAACUCUACUCAAGCUGCUUGGGAUAGGUGGAGAACUAGAUUGCAUUUCCCAGCCUCCUGUGCAAUUUGGCGUGAUCAUGUGACUGGGUCUGAACCAAUGGAAUGUGAGUGGAAGUGAUGUCAAGCUGAGCUCUGAAAACCUCCAGACUCUUCCAUGUUCUCUUUCCUGAGGUUAGAGACCAAUAAUGAUAACUUGGAGAGCCUUGGAAGCCACAUGAGAGCUACUGUCAACCUAAGUCUCUGGAAGACUUCACGGAGGCAGAAACUGUCUCUCCACCACAAACCAUCUCUGCUGACCUGGGACAUCCACUCCUGCCAGACUCAGGCCUCAGAUCCCGAGAUAAGAAAUCCUCCACAAAGGAGAAGGCCGGGACCGCCAUCUUCCUCUGGAGCCAUUGCAACCAGGCUUCAGCCUAAGGCUCGGGUCUCCUAAAGCAGUUUGCAAUUACAGAGUGGCUCCGAAUCUGUGUCACAAACACCCCCCAGGAGACCCACGCCGUCUUCACUACCCAGAUGGGGCAGUGAGAGAGCUGUCUUCGAAGACCAAAAUUAUCACCAUCACCAUCGUUAAUUUUCUCCAACAUGCUGUGUAACCUUG